AACAAUCGGCGCUGACAAAAUCACCAUAUGUCAGCUGCAAAAGGCCACCGUACUCAGCUCUGCACGCAUUAUUCGUCGAUACAUCACACAGUCCUAGAUGCUUGGGAAGCGUCUGACGUGUGAUGUAACACAAAAUCCAGCAUAUUGAUCUUGUUUGCUGUGUAUAACUGUUUUUGUAUCAACAUAAUAAUAAUAAUAAGAAGAAGAAGAAGAAGAAGAAGAAGAAGAAGAAGAA